UACGUAGGCAGCAAGCGUUGUUCGGAGUUACUGGGCGUAAAGGUGCGUAGGCGGUUGUUUAAGUUUGGUGUGAAAUCUCCCGGCUCAACCGGGAGGGUGCGCCGAAUACUGAACGGCUAGAGUGCGGGAGAGGAGAGUGGAAUUCCUGGUGUAGCGGUGAAAUGCGUAGAUAUCAGGAGGAACACCGGUGGUGUAGACGGCUCUCUGGACCGUAACUGACGCUGAGGCACGAAAGCGUGGGUAGCAAACAGG
rnacentral:rRNA from 1 species